GGGCGAUUAGCUCAGAUGGAUAGAGCGUUGGCCUCCGAAGCCAAAGGCCCUGGGUUCGAGUCCCAGAUCGCCCACCA
rnacentral:tRNA from 2 species